rnacentral:rRNA from 1 species
UUGAACGCUGGCGGCAUGCCUUACACAUGCAAGUCGAACGGGCUUUGGGGCUUGCUCCAAAGUUAGUGGCGAACGGGUGAGUAAUAUAUCGGAACGUGCCCUGGAGUGGGGGAUAACUAGUCGAAAGAUUAGCUAAUACCGCAUACGAUCUAAGGAUGAAAGUGGGGGACCGCAAGGCCUCACGCUCCUGGAGCGGCCGAUAUCUGAUUAGCUAGUUGGUGGGGUAAAGGCCCACCAAGGCAUCGAUCAGUAGCUGGUCUGAGAGGACGAUCAGCCACACUGGGACUGAGACACGGCCCAGACUCCUACGGGAGGCAGCAGUGGGGAAUUUUGGACAAUGGGGGAAACCCUGAUCCAGCAAUGCCGCGUGAGUGAAGAAGGCCUUCGGGUUGUAAAGCUCUUUUGUCAGGGAAGAAAAGGCUCAGGAUAAUACCCUGGGUGAAUGACGGUACCUGAAGAAUAAGCACCGGCUAACUACGU